rnacentral:tRNA from 3 species
GCGGUACUAGCUCAGUUGGUAGAGCACAACCUUGCCAAGGUUGGGGUCACGAGUUCGAGUCUCGUGUACCGCUCCA